rnacentral:rRNA from 1 species
UUUAUGGCGGAUGCUCUUUCCAAUAUUCCUUUCAGAGCCGUGGAGGCCGGCCACAUCUCUCCUGUUAGCUCACACCUCAUUCCGGAGGAUAUCACUCACCUCCAAUAUGCAGAUGACACAAUUAUCCUAGUGGAACUAAACGAGCACUGCAUUGCCCAUCUCAAAUUUCUGCUCCUUUGCUUCGAAGCUCUCUCGGGUCUCAAGAUUAAUUUCUCCAAAAGUGAAGUUAUUGUCACUGGCGUGUCGGACACCGAGGCCUUGCGGGUGGCCCGCCUCCUGAACUGUUCUCGUGGUUCGUUUCCUAUUAAGUACUUGGGUCUACCGAUCUCCUCUGGUAAACUUCUUGCUAAAGAUUUUGCUCCAACAGUGGCC